AAGAGAGGGCAAAGACCAUCCUUUAACCCCAUCUCCAGGAGAAAGUUCCAAUGAGCUAUGAUGGACCCUUUGGGAAACUCUGCCUCCGUCAGGAAUAGCCUAGAGCUAAAUCUAGCUGAAAAGCUUGCUUUGCUGACUUCUGUGCCAACACAUCUACCCAGUUCUUGGCUUUGAACAUUUCAACUCGAGGAAAAAGCACACUUUUCAAUCAGAAGCAAACGGGAGCACAGUGGUGAGGUGUAGCUGUGUGUUUCCCACUUCAGGCUCCAGCCCUGCUCAGAUGCCAGCUGAGCAAACAGGAGGAGAAGCUGUGACACUUCCCCAGCCAGCAAACCUUUCAGAAGGCCAAAUCAUCGCGACCAGUAUGACUUGGAUCGUACAUCCUUCUUUGAACAUGGACGCAAGAUGGCUUCUAGGAGUCCCAUACUCCUAAGAAAAGAAUUCCAACGGGAAACAAGAUGGGUUAAGUGAUACAGGACAAAUCCCCUUUCUCUGCAACACCAGCAUGAAAAAUCACUUUCUCUUUAUCCCCACACAUCGGUCGCAGGUGAGAUGUUGAAUGCCCCUGCAUAGGCCAACAUUGCACAUGCUCUGAUGGGUCUGCCUGGAUUGCAUGACUUCACCCGUGGGGAGGGUCAAGCACACAGGACAGACUCAGUGUCUCCUGAAGCAAGGAAGGAACUCCCUAAACACUAGAAGAAAGACAAUGAGGAUCAAAAGACAAAAACAAAAGGCAAACACCCAGUGGAAACAUAGCCUCAUAGGUCAGGUUGGGGGCUUCCUGUGUGGUUUUCAUCUUCUGAGGAGAAGUGGGGGGGGCUAUGGAUAGGAAAGCAAGAGGUCCUGCUCUGUAGACUUUUGAGGACAGCAGGGCAGUUCUGGUCUGCAGAGCUCAUUAUUCUAAUGUAGAUGAUCAAGCUUACCCAUUUCUCAGCCACUGACCAGAUGUUGUUUGACCAUAUCCCCUUCAGAUCUUCAGAACAGCUUUGCAGGGAACAAGGGCAGGUGUUGCUUCCCAUUUCACAGGUGAACAAACUGAGGCAGAGCAAUGCGAAAGUGACCUUCCCAAGGUCACUCUGUUGGUCAAGUUGCAAGGUUGCAAGCUCCCCAGCGUAAGACUUAAUUAAAAGGCUAAGAAAAAAAUUCCAACAGGAAACAAGAUGGGUUAAGUGAUACAGGACAAAUCUCAUUGGCCAGACAAAAGCUGCAGAGAGAACAGCUCUGCCAGUUGGAAAGGAGAAAUCAGGAAGCUUGGCCCGAUUGCCCAAGAACAGAACAAAGAAAUCGCUAGAAUUUAUAAGCACAAGAAGAGAAAAAUCAAAGAAAGAAAUGAGAUGCGACCUGCAAAACACAUAAAAGGAAAUAGAAAAAACAUUCUUUAAAAUACACUGGGAACAAGAGAAAGAUAAGGGGAAUGUUCCUUUCUAAUAGAUGAUGAGGGGAAGCUGAUAAUAGAUGACACCAGAAAUGCAUAGGUUUUUAAUGCUCUAUCCCUUGCGUAGCUGGAACUAACUGCAUACAGACUAGAAGGCAAGGACAAAGGCCAGAGAGCGGAGGCCCAAGGACAGCACCCGAAAGGAGCAAGAAGCUGGGGCUACUCAGGGCCCUGGGGGGAGGGAGAUGCCAUCCUCCCCACAUCACUGGCAUCGGAGAGGGGCUGGUGCUGCCCAAGGUCACUCAGUUAGAGUUGGCAGAGCAGCCCAAGACCCUGGGUUUCUGGCUGGCGGUACAGCGUGUUUCUCUCCCUCGUGGGAGAUAGGGAGGGGACAGACAGUGAUGGAUACGCCAAGGUAUAUACAAUCUAGUGCCAGAGUCAGGCAGGUGCUCACAGAACUGACUGGAGCAGGGGAGAAGGACAGAGCUGAGGAGCAGUUAGAGACACAAGGCAAGGAGGAAGGUGCCUUGAUGGCGGUGUUCGAGCCUCGGACUCGUCAGGGUCUUGGCCUCUGACUCCCUCGGGUUCCAGAGCUUGAGUCGCUGACUCUUGCCUGUGCUUGUCUUGCUCUGUGUCUCUCACCAGCUUCUUGUUGCCACAGAAAGGUGAUGCACGCUAGCCAACCAUCCCAGUACCCCAGAGCUUAACCCUGAGAGCAUUUGCUUACCUUGCUGUGGGCCAGAUUUAGGCUGAACUCAGCUGGAAGGGGGACCUGAGGGUUUUUUUCACUUUAUGGGGAGAUUAGCCUGCUACUGGUUGAUCUAGGAUAGCCUCAACUUGAUGACUUGAAUGACUGGGACAAAUGAGAUGAAUGAGCUAAUGAAUACCCAGCAGGCUAGCUCAGGUGCAUUCUCAUAGCAUGGCAGAGGCAUAAGACUAACAAACCUGGGUAUGCAAGACAUUGAGACAUAUAGGUACUUUUCAAUGUUCUGUUAACAGAUAUGUUUGUUUCAGUUCGUUGGCUGGAGAAAAUUAACCACCCAAGUGUGAGCAAUGUGUUGGAGUCAGUUCUUUCCUUCCACCAUGUGGGUUCCAGGUAUUGAACUCCGGUCUUUAGACUUUGUGACAAGCUCUUGUAUCUGCUGAGCCACCUUGUUAGCCCUAGAUGGCUACUUCUGAGCCACCAUCUACAGCACCAUAUUAUGCCGACCCCAGUAGCCUAGUAAAGGUGUGUUGGCCUUGGCUGUUCCACUAAAGAAACCAGGAGGCUUUGAGACAGUCCUUCUUUGGUAGCACAGCUCACCCAGACAGGAAAAUGCUCGGCGGAGACGCCAUCUGCGUGAAACACCUGCUGGUCUAUAUCUGACAGCUGAGCGUGGCCAGUCUGUCUUUCUCAGGGGCUUAUACUCUGAACACACUUCCUGCGGGACAGAUCCUGACUCUUGUCUCAGCUUCCUGAACGAGGCGAAGGCUCCCCAGUUCUAACUCCUCUGCCUCCCACUGUCUGGCCCUGUACCCACCACCCCGCAUGUGCUCAUCCCUCGCCAUUGGCCCAUUGAAUCCAUUCACUUCCUAACCUGGGAUCCUAUUGCCAUGAGGAUGUCUGAAUUUUCAUGGAUUUAGGAUGUCUAAUCCCAUUCUCUUUGUGUCACCCUCAACAGAUAGACAUUUCUGGUUUUGUUUUUGUUUUCCUGGAAGAACUUGGUGUCCAUAAAGUCUUAGAAGUGGUAAGAUCCUCUUCCAGAUGGAGUGUGCUCCCAUAUUAAGUUCUGAGGCAGGAGGAUGGCCUGCCAAGGGCUGCCCUGACUGGAUGUUCAGCACAGUUCAGCUGAGUGGAGGCUGGAAAUGGGCCAGGCAGCCUGAGCACUGGCAAGUAUGAAGAGCCCUGGACCAGAAGCCAGAGGACCCUGCUCGGAACCCGGUUCUGUUCAUUAUGCCUAUGCUUGCUAAGUUCCAUGCCCUUGACAGGUGCUAGGAACAGAGUUCCACAUGGCAAGCAUGGACCCUGAGGUCUUGGGGUAUUCAGUUUGUCACUGUAACACUGAGAAAUUAGUUCACUUCUGAACCUCAGUUUCCCCACCUCUAAAGUAAGAUGUUUGGAUUGUGAUGUCUAGUGUUCUUUCCUGUUCCAGAAUUCAUUAGGAGCUGUCUCUGAACCAAGACGGGAUGAGGACCUAGAAGAUAACCAUGGCAACUCUGGACAUGAAAUGGGAGGUGUGGUUCUGAAACAUUCCCAGCAAUCAGCUGACUGAUGGGGAUGGAGAAAGGGGAUAGAGGGGGCAAAGGUGCUGAGAUGUUUAACCUGAAAGUCCUUGACAAGGAAAAACAGAGCUGGACACAGAAAAAGGAUGAACACUAGCCCACAUGGGACAGCUUCGUGGUAAUUACAUAUGAAAGGGAGGCAGACUCACUUUGCAUUUUUCCGAAACAGGGAGAAAUAAACUAUAUGACUUAA